GACUGCGAUUGGCAGACGAUUCCGACCGCCACGACCACCGCGAAGACAACUGCUGCCGCUUAUUUGGAUUGGAGCAAUAUUCAGGUAACCAUGUGUUGGACUGGACUGUUGUAUAAUGGUGUAAUUGUGUUGCUGUUUUGAUGAAUUAUUCACCACCCUUGUUGUUUUGAUUUUCUGUUAUUCACCACCCUUGCUGUUUUGAUGAAUUAUUUACUAUCUUUUUAAGGAAUUCCAUAUUCAUAUGUCUAUUGAUGGUGUUAUGUUGUUGUACAAGCCCUGAUUUGAGUGACUCGGUUAUUUGAGUGACUAAUAAUGUGUAUGGAGGUUGAUCUUGCUGAAUUUUGUCGAAUUUGAUUUUUUAGUGACAUGUAUUUGAUUUUUUGAAUCACUUUUAAAGCUGAACAUUAUUUGUGGUUC